rnacentral:tRNA from 1 species
GCUAAAAUAGUUUAUGUCUAAAACCUUGAAUUGUGGUUUCAAAAAUGCGCCCUCCUACGCUUUUAGCC